rnacentral:rRNA from 1 species
AGUGAACGCUGGCGGUAGGCCUAACACAUGCAAGUCGAACGGCAGCACAGUAAGAGCUUGCUCUACGGGUGACGAGUGGCGAACGGGUGAGGAAUACAUCGGAAUCUACUUGUUCGUUGGGGAUAACGUAGGGAAACUUACGCUAAUACCCCAUACGACCUACGGGUGAAAGCAGGGGAGCUUCGGACCUUGCGCGAUUGAAUGAGCCGAUGUCGGAUUAGCUAGUUGGCGGGGUAAAGGCCCACCAAGGCGACGAUCGGUAGCUGGUGUGAGAGGAUGAUCAGCCACACUGGAACUGAGACACGGUCCAGAGUCCUACGGGAGGCAGCAGUGGGGAAUAUUGGACAAUGGGGGCAAGCAUGACCCAGCCAUACCGAGUGGGUGACGAAGGCCUUCGGGUUGUAAAGACCUUUUGUUGGGAAAGAAAAGCAGCAGGUUAAUACCCCGCUGUUCUGACGGUACCCAAAGAAUAAGCACCGGCUAACUUCGUG